UAAGGAAUAUUGGUCAAUGGACGCAAGUCUGAACCAGCCAUGCCGCGUGAAGGAUGAAGGUCCUCUGGAUUGUAAACUUCUUUUGUCUGGGACGAAAACGGGAUUUUUAUCUCAAUUGACGGUACCAGAGGAAUAAGCACCGGCUAACUCCGUGCCAGCAGCCGCGGUAAUACGGAGGGUGCGAGCGUUAUCCGGAUUUACUGGGUUUAAAGGGUGCGUAGGUGGGCUUAUAAGUCAGUGGUGAAAUCUCCGAGCUUAACUUGGAAACUGCCGUUGAUACUAUAGGUCUUUAAUUAUCUGGAGGUAAGCGGAAUAUGUCAUGUAGCGGUGAAAGGCUUAGAUAUGACAUAGAACACCAAUUGCGAAGGCAGCUUACUAUGCGGUGAUUGACACUGAGGCACGAAAGCGUGGGUAGCAAACA
rnacentral:rRNA from 1 species